AUGGGGAAGAUGGUGUUGGUGGGCAAGUGCUGGCAGGAGUCGAAGCUGCUGUGGCACAUCGCGUUCCCGGCGAUCCUCACCGCCGUGUUCCAGUUCUCCAUCAACUUCGUCACCGUCGGCUUCGUCGGCCACAUCGGCGUGGUCGAGCUUGCCGCCAUCACGGUCGCCCAGAACGUCGUUGAGGGCUUCGCCUACGGUGUCCUGCUUGGCAUGGGAAGCGCGCUAGAGACACUGUGCGGGCAGGCGGUGGGUGCGGGGCAGGUGGACAUGUUGGGCAUCUACAUACAGCGCUCCUGGAUCAUCUGCGGCGCCACCGCGCUGGCCCUCGUGCCAACCUACGUUUUCACGGCGCCCAUCCUACGGGCCCUCCACCAGCCUGCCGCCAUCUCCGCCGUCGCCGGCCGGUACACACGAUGGGUCGUCCCGCAGCUGUUCGCCUACGCCGCCAACUUCCCGCUGCAGAAGUUCUUACAGGCGCAAAGCAAGGUCUGGGCCAUGACCUUCAUUUCUGGCGUGGGGCUCGCCCUCCACGUCGCGCUCAACUACGUCUUCGUCACGCGCCUCGGUCAUGGCCUAUUCGGAGCCGCCAUGAUCGGGAACGUCACCUGGUGGAUCAUCAUCCUCGCGCAGUUCACCUACCUCGUCUCGGGCUGCUUCCCGGAGGCGUGGAAGGGGUUCUCGAUGCUCGCCUUCAACAACAUCGCCGCCUUCGUCAAGCUGUCCCUCGCCUCCGCCGCCAUGCUCUGCUUGGAGGUCUGGUACUACACUGCAGUGCUCAUCCUUGUGGGUCUCCUGAAGAAUGCUCAACUCGAGGUUGACAUCAUGUCAGUCUGCAUCAACUACCAGCUCUGGGCCGUGAUGGUUGCACUAGGCCUAAAUGGAGCAGUGAGCGUUAGGGUGUCGAAUGAGCUGGGUGCGAACAAGCCAAAGGCGGCCAGGUUCUCGGUGAUCAUUGCGGUGUCAACGUCCGCCGCCAUCGGUGCAGUCUUCCUGGCCGUGUUCCUCGCCUGGAGGACUGAGCUGCCGCGGUUCUUCAGCGACAACGAGGAGGUGGUGAGCGAGGCUGCCAAGCUCGGCUACCUUCUUGCAGCAACCAUCUUCCUCAACAGCAUCCAGCCUGUGCUCACAGGUGUGGUGAUAGGAGCAGGGUGGCAGACGCUUGUUGCCUUCAUAAACAUUGGAUGCUACUACUUGGUUGGCAUCCCACUGGGAUUCCUCUUUGGCUUCAAGCUUAAACUUGGCGCACUGGGAAUUUGGGCGGGCAUGUCCAUUGGCACGCUGCUGCAGACUGUUGUACUUCUCAUAAUUUGCUUCAGAACCAAGUGGAAGAAACAGGCUAUGUUGGCCGAAGGGAGGAUAAGGGAGUGGGGAGGAAGCAGCGAAACAUUGCCGGCGGCGACAAACGGUGGCAUCGAUAGAUGA
rnacentral:rRNA from 1 species